AACUAAAUGGUCCAUUGUACAUGUUGAUAGUCAAAGUCAGAGAAAUCAGUGAGAUGUUGCGUCCCAGGCCCUUGCGCACAAGGGA